UACGAAGGGGGCUAGCGUUGCUCGGAAUGACUGGGCGUAAAGGGCGCGUAGGCGGUUGACACAGUCAGAUGUGAAAUUCCUGGGCUUAACCUGGGGGCUGCAUUUGAUACGUGUUGGCUUGAGUGUGGAAGAGGGUCGUGGAAUUCCCAGUGUAGAGGUGAAAUUCGUAGAUAUUGGGAAGAACACCGGUGGCGAAGGCGGCGACCUGGUCCAUAACUGACGCUGAGGCGCGAAAGCGUGGGGAG
rnacentral:rRNA from 1 species